CACGGUUUAGUACUGCUUUUCCAACCAUUUUCAGGGAAGUGGACACAGAUAGUCGGAGUCUUUGCAUCAUCAGGAAAUGUGAAGGAAAAUAUCCUAUCGAAGAUCAUUAUUGAUGCUAUCCUACAGUGUGAGCAGGCAGGCCUGAAGGUUGACUAUCUCUGUUGUGACGGGGCAGCCUGGAAUCGGAGCAUGUGGAAACGAUUCGGCAUUAAGGCUACAUCCAGCGACAUCAAGUGCUGCGCUCCUCACCCCGUCGACUUGAACAGGUUCCUUUAUUUUGUGUCGGAUUUCCCACACCUGCUCAAGUGUCUGCGAAACAUGCUGCUCAAGUGUGGUUUUGAUACACCACAUGGAAGGGUAUGCUCUUUUCUGUCUCCACAAAAGCUUAGGGUUCUCCCGACCAUUAUUACUUUGUCGCCAUAUGGAGUGAAGCAUUGUUUUCAUUCUCUGUUUUGGGCGCUUGGGUCUUGCACACAGGUAAUUAAAGAGCACAUCCAGGCUGCCUGGAAGGCCGAUUCCAACGUUCUGACACUGAGGGCAAUGCCUCAUGUUUCACACUCAGUGCUAUUCCCAAAUGCAUUUGAAAAGAUGCGGGUAA